AGCCUUUGGUAGUUCAUGAGCAUGGUGAUUGGUAUUCACGCAAGUGUGUGAAAUGUGCCACCUUCAAACCUUGUUACAACAUCAACGCAUUACCUGUCUGACA